rnacentral:rRNA from 1 species
AUUGAACGCUGGCGGCAUGCCUUACACAUGCAAGUCGAACGGCAGCACGGGUGCUUGCACCUGGUGGCGAGUGGCGCACGGGUGAGUAAUACAUCGGAACAUGUCCUGUAGUGGGGGAUAGCCCGGCGAAAGCCGGAUUAAUACCGCAUACGAUCUACGGAUGAAAGCGGGGGACCUUCGGGCCUCGCGCUAUAGGGUUGGCCGAUGGCUGAUUAGCUAGUUGGUGGGGUAAAGGCCUACCAAGGCGACGAUCAGUAGCUGGUCUGAGAGGACGAUCAGCCACACUGGGACUGAGACACGGCCCAGACUCCUACGGGAGGCAGCAGUGGGGAAUUUUGGACAAUGGGCGAAAGCCUGAUCCAGCAAUGCCGCGUGUGUGAAGAAGGCCUUCGGGUUGUAAAGCACUUUUGUCCGGAAAGAAAGCCUUGGACCUAAUACGGUCGGGGGAUGACGGUACCGGAAGAAUAAGCACCGGCUAACUACGUG